GUCUAUGGCCAUACCACCUUGAACGUGCCCGUUCUUAUCUGAUCUCGGAAGCUAAGCAGGGUCUGUCCUGGUUCAUACUUGGAUGGGAGAAUACUGGGAUUCCAGAUG
rnacentral:rRNA from 1 species